GAAUCUGGCUUCAGGUCGGGGACAACCACUGGAAACGGUGGCUAAUACCGGAUGUGCCGAAAGGUGAAAGAUUUAUCGUCUGAAGAUGAGCUCGCGUCUGAUUAGCUAGUAGGUGUGGUAAGAGCGCACCUAGGCGACGAUCAGUAACUGGUCUGAGAGGAUGACCAGUCACACUGGGACUGAGACACGGCCCAGACUCCUACGGGAGGCAGCAGUGGGGAAUUUUCCGCAAUGGGCGAAAGCCUGACGGAGCAAUACCGCGUGAGGGAGGAAGGCUCUUGGGUUGUAAACCUCUUUUCUCAGGGAAGAACACAAUGACGGUACCUGAGGAAUCAGCAUCGGCUAACUCCGUGCCAGCAGCCGCGGUAAUACGGAGGAUGCAAGCGUUAUCCGGAAUGAUUGGGCGUAAAGCGUCCGCAGGUGGCAGUGUAAGUCUGCUGUUAAAGAGUGAGGCUCAACCUCAUAAAAGCAGUGGAAACUACACAGCUAGAGUGCGUUCGGGGCAGAGGGAAUUCCUGGUGUAGCGGUGAAAUGCGUAGAGAUCAGGAAGAACACCGGUGGCGAAAGCGCUCUGCUAGGCCGCAACU
rnacentral:rRNA from 1 species